rnacentral:rRNA from 1 species
CCUACGGGUGGCAGCAGUGAGGAAUAUUGGUCAAUGGACGAGAGUCUGAACCAGCCAAGUAGCGUGAAGGAUGACUGCCCUAUGGGUUGUAAACUUCUUUUAUAUGGGAAUAAAAUGUUCCACGUGUGGGAUUUUGUAUGUACCAUAUGAAUAAGGAUCGGCUAACUCCGUGCCAGCAGCCGCGGUAAUACGGAGGAUCCGAGCGUUAUCCGGAUUUAUUGGGUUUAAAGGGAGCGUAGGUGGAUGGUUAAGUCAGUUGUGAAAGUUUGCGGCUCAACCGUAAAAUUGCAGUUGAAACUGGCAGACUGGAGUACAGUAGAGGUGGGCGGAAUUCGUGGUGUAGCGGUGAAAUGCUUAGAUAUCACGAAGAACUCCGAUGGCGAAGGCAGCUCACUGGACUGCAACUGACACUGAGGCUCGAAAGUGUGGGGAGCAAACAGGAUUAGAUACCCUGGUAGUC